GUGCUCCCUUUGGCAGCACGUAGACUAAAACUGAAACAAUACAGAGAAGCUUUGCAUCGCCCCUAUGCAAAGAUGACACACAAAUUCCUGAAGCAUUCCAUAUUUUU
ensembl:snRNA U6 U6 spliceosomal RNA